CGGGCUGUGGCGAAGUUGGUAUCGCGCCUGCAUGGGGUGCAGGAGGUCGCAGGUUCAAGUCCUGUCAGCCCGA
rnacentral:tRNA from 2 species